AUUGAACGCUGGCGGCAGGCCUAACACAUGCAAGUCGAGCGGAGCGGCGGACGGGUGAGUAAUGCCUAGGAAUCUGCCUGGUAGUGGGGGAUAACGUCCGGAAACGGGCGCUAAUACCGCAUACUAUCAGAUGAGCCUAGGUCGGAUUAGCUAGUUGGUGGGGUAAAGGCCUACCAAGGCGACGAUCCGUAACUGGUCUGAGAGGAUGAUCAGUCACACUGGAACUGGGAAACGGGUCAGAACCCUAAGUGAGGCAGGAGUGGGGGAUAUUGGACAAAGGGGGAAAGCCUGAUCCAGGCAUGCCGCGUGUGUGGAGGAGGUUUUUGGGUUGUAAAGCACUUUAAGUUGGGAGGCGUUACCAACAGAAUAAGCACCGGCUAACUUCGUGCCAGCCGCCGCGGUAAUAC
rnacentral:rRNA from 1 species